CCAGAGUGAACACAUCCUACUCCUCCUUCUCUUGGAUUGGAACACUGGAUCUGCUCCAAGAUCGAUCCUGAACCAACCCAAGAUAAGCAAUGGCUCUAGUUGGUCAGGCUGCCAUGGUUGCGCAGUUUGCAGGAGUGGACGCCUACGGGCUCAUCAAGAUGAUCGCCGAUGCGGCGCAGACGGUCCGGAGGAACAGAGCCACCUGCCUGCAGCUCGCGCGCCGCGCCAAGAUGAUCGGGGACCUGCUGCACCAGCUCCACGCCGCGCAGCUCAUGCAGCAGCCGGAGACGAGGAACCCGAUGGAGCAGCUCGAGGAGACACUCCGGCGCGCGCUGCUGCUCGUCAGGUCCUGCCAGGGCCGUGGAUACCUCUACCGGUGCUUCAUGGGGGCGCGGCACGCCGACGAGCUCCGCGAGGUGCAGGGUGAGAUCACCUUCUACCUCCAGCUUUUCCCUCUCGUCAGCUACGUCGACACCACCCUCACCUGGGUCAGACUCCUCAACAAAGCUGGUGCUCCUGAACCUCCUUCAUGCAAAGAGGCACCUGUGGUAAGACCAUAUUUUGUGCCGGAUGAAUGGUUCUUGCUAGUUUCUCAUUCAGGAAGUAUACCUUGGCACUGUAUACACAUGGUUUACAUCCUUCUCUUCUUGUAAUAUCUACUAACCACCCGUCGGGCAAAAUUUAUCCUGGCAUGUAUCUGCAGGAGUUAAAAUUGUUGUGCAACUGACCAGUUAUUUCUUUUUUCUCAUCACUUCACUGAAAUGAUUAGCAAUUAUCUAGCUAGCACAAUGUUUCUGCAACUGCUAGUUAGCAUUGUGCUUGUUAUGUAUUGCGUUCGCGCUCUUGUCUCUGGAGAAUCUGGCUGGCAUAGAGUGAAAUUCAAGUUCACCCAAUCCAAACCGCGGUUGUAAGUCGGUCAUUCGUUCGUGUGCAAAAUAGGAUCGCAAAUUUCCAGUUUCGGAGGCACAGUCGCGGUUGCAGGUGCCAUUGGAUCAUCAGUGUAAAGAAACUUCCAUGCCCCCUUCACAUGGUGCAAGUGCAACCCUCCAGGUUCAAAGGGUAGCCUGUGUAUUGCAUCACACAUGACUUUGCUUGAAGGCCCUCUCUCAUCUACAUAAGCAAAGCUUUCUGAAGAGUAGGAGGCGAGCUCGGAAGCAGCAAUAAGUCUCAAGCCCAGUGCCACUGUACAAAUGAUCCAGGCUUCAGAGCUGAUAGAAAAUUAGAAGAGCGAAUAUAGGACCUUUAUCCGCAAAAAAAAAAAGAAUAUAGGACCUUGGUUGCAGCAAAACUUGCCUCCUUAUUCAACUUCUUUUGAUCCAAAGAAACCCGUUUUGCAGUGUCCGCGGCCAUAGUUACAGAUUUACAUAAACUGCAGAGAUAAUACUGGUUCUCACACAUGGUUCUUGUUUACCUUGUAACUUCGUAUCGUACCUUGGAGUUUCUCUGUAACUGUGAAUGACCAUUAGGCGUACCUUGGAGUUUGUCGAAACAGGCAUACGCCUCACUUUAUACUAAUAAAGCCAUAUGGCAAAAUGAUACUACCUCCGUCUAGCAUACAAAAACAUCUUAUAUUUUGAGACGGAGAUAGUAUAAGAUAUUGACGGAAUCCUUGAGAGCUGGUAAAAAAAACACACUACAAAACAAGCAAAAACAUGCUAAAAACGUGCAAUUGUGCACCACUAAACGCCUCACGCAUGCGGUCGAGAUAAAGCAUAGAAGACACGCCGUCACUCUCGAGGGAUCCCCACACUCAUUGAUGACUCCCCCAAGAGGGACACGGAGCGAAGCGCCGCCACCGCCUUGCGAGCCGAAGCGGACGAAAGUUUCACCCUGAGUGUCAGGAGAGAAAGAGAGAGAGAGAGAGAGUCGGGCAGUGGCUCAAGAGGAGAGCGACACCCACAUGCAUCGCCAACGCCGACGUCGAGGUACCCACCAGAUUGAGGGUUGCAGACCUACCCCAAUGGAGAGCCCACAUCAGCAUACUGUGGACUCUAGAUUCGAAUCUAGAGUUAACAUUCAUUGCUUCGACAAUUUGUUAUGUCGUGGAACCUAUAAUGAUGUGUUGUUCUUACUUGAAAAAACAUACUUAUGGUUAUACCCUCUAUGAAAGCAUCCGUAAAUACAAGGGAAUAAUUAAGAUAACAAUUGUUCCAACAACCCCUCAUGCAAUAGUUCGUAAACUUAGGGUUAGGUGAUUUUUGUUUCUCCAACCACCCAUUAUAGAUAAAGUAAUUACACAACGCUCUCCUCUAGGCCCUUAACGGUGAAGUAAUACACAGUCGACGUUCGCAUAUCACCACUAGAGAAUUACUCCACAACAUAAUAUUAGAACAUUGAAUGAUAUUCCACUUCACAAAUAGCAACAAGGUUUAUCCCAUGUCCUCAGGAACAUAAUGGGCUACUCACAUGACAUCGUAUGGACCAUGAUCAAUGAAUAUGAAUUAUAAUUAGCAAUCUAAACAUAUAAAUCUUCACAAAUAAAACUUCUAAGCAUCUACUACAGAUAGUUAUCAACACC
rnacentral:rRNA from 1 species